rnacentral:lncRNA from 1 species
GAGAAGGCGGUGUAGCGUCUCUGCUCGCUUCUCUCUCGGCUCACACUGCGUGGCAAGUUUCUGUUGUAUUUGCAGAAGAAAUAAAUGAGUGUCAUGGAAACAUCUACUAUAAACAAUCACCUCAUACCAGCGCUCACAGGCUGCAGUGAAGAUGUUUGUUCUUUCAAGGAGUGAAGGCAGUGGUAAGAAUCACACCGGCUCCCUGGGACGGGCUGUUGGCCAAGGAAGGAAGGCAGAGGGUCAGCGAGCCAGAGCUCAGGAAUUUCAUCCUCUCAAAGCACUCAUUAGCACAAAGCCCUGGCUCCAGGACAUGAAGCUCCCAAAACAGCAAAGAGACUUGCUUCUGGGAAAGCGUGCGCACAGGUGCACACACAUGCACAGAAAGUGGCCUUGAAUACCGAAGGUGGAGCCUUCCCUGACACCGGAAGCCUCUUAGCUCACCACCAGCCCGGAGGCGGAAAGAGGCCCCCAACAGAGCAGUCAGUGAGCACAUUAAUAAAGGUUGAGGGCCUGGAUAGAUGUGGAGAACCAGGACUCUUGAAUAACCUUCUACCUACCCACCCCUCCACCCGUGCAAACACACUCAAGAUGCAUAACCUGGGGCCAUCUCUCCCUGAGCCAUGAUUUUGGUUAUCUUCUUGGGCAAAGAUGCCUUUCUGGGGACAAUUAAGUGAGCUGCUCCAGGUCUCUUUGAUGCAGUGAUUUCCAGGUGGCAUGACCCGGAAUAACUCCACCCCCAACACACACACACACACACACACACACACACACACACUCUUACACACUUUCCCAGGGCCCCAGGACUGUAAAGACAUAUUGGAAUCCAUUUGCAGAAUUGGUCAUAACUGGAUCCUUCUCCUCCCAAAACCUCUAAGCAGCUAACUGUGGCCUAGAGAAAAGUGCUGGAUCUGCAAAGGCUGGCCCCAAUUCCUCACCAUUGUUAGGUAUGGAGCGGGAAACAACAGGUCUCAGAGAAACCCUCUCCUAGGGGCUUGUGGGGCAAGGAAGAAGAUGGAGCCACUCUCACCACCCAUCUUGACUGCUUUCUUUGGCCAUCCAUUUGUCCUACCCAGGGUUGUGGCUUCUGCUAAAAAAAGUAGAGUUGUCUAUCAGAAUGGAUGACGGGCGUGGAGGCUCAUGCCAGUAGUCUCAGCUACUCAGGAGGCUGAAGCAGUAGUGUUGCUUGAGCCCAGGAGUUCUAGGCUGCUGUAAUCAUGCCACUGCACUCCAGCCUGGGUGACAGAAUGAGAUCCUGUUAAAAAACAGACAACAACAACAACAAAAGUGUCCGUCAAAUUGGAAAGAAAAAACACAUAACAAGCUUUAGAACAUGAAUUGGGUUGGGAAGGGGUUUAAAAGAUCUAUCUAAAGAGGAGAAUAAAUUUAUUCUGGAUAAUUCUACUGGCAACGGUGGAACAAGGGAUGAAGGCAGAGAGGAAGGGGAAGAAAAUUAAGAUAGAAAGGGAAAAGUUCAUCAUCAUCAUCAUCAUUAGACAUAUCUCAACUGGGUUUCAGAUCAGCUAAAGAGAGAUAUACUGUAUGAGCUUACAGUGGGGAGUGAGUCUGAUCAAAUCUUUUCCUCCUGGCAUAUGGCUGAGCUUUGGACCCAGAACGGAUGGCUGCCCCUUCCUAGCGUAGACACAUCCAGUUGAGUGUUCAAGGGGAGCAUGGAC